rnacentral:rRNA from 1 species
CGGCAACAGCUCAAAUUUGAAAUCUGGCCUCUCGGGGUCCGAGUUGUAAUUUGUAGAGGAUGUUUUAGGUACCGCCCCGGUCUAAAUUUCUUGGAACAGAAUGUCAAAGAGGGUGAGAAUCCCGUCU